AGCCCACGGGUCGGCAUCGACCAGAGGGAAAAGGAGCAAUCCGCUUUGAGAUGGUCUCGCGUCCGAUUAGCUAGUUGGUGAGGUAAUGGCCCACCAAGGCGACGAUCGGUAGCCGGACUGAGAGGUUGAACGGCCACAUUGGGACUGAGACACGGCCCAGACUCCUACGGGAGGCAGCAUG
rnacentral:rRNA from 1 species